GUUGAAGAGUAUAGUGGUGAGUAUUCCUGCCUGUCACGCGGGUGACCUGGGUUCAAUCCCCGGCAACGACG
rnacentral:tRNA from 1 species